rnacentral:rRNA from 1 species
GACGAACGCUGGCGGCGUGCCUAAUACAUGCAAGUAGAACGCUGAAGAGAGGAGCUUGCUCUUCUUGGAUGAGUUGCGAACGGGUGAGUAACGCGUAGGUAACCUGCCUUGUAGCGGGGGAUAACUAUUGGAAACGAUAGCUAAUACCGCAUAACAAUGGAUGACACAUGUCAUUUAUUUGAAAGGGGCAAUUGCUCCACUACAAGAUGGACCUGCGUUGUAUUAGCUAGUAGGUGAGGUAAUGGCUCACCUAGGCGACGAUACAUAGCCGACCUGAGAGGGUGAUCGGCCAGCUUGGGACUGAGACACGGCCCAGACUCCUACGGGAGGCAGCAGUAGGGAAUCUUCGGCAAUCGGGGCAACCCUGACCGAGCAACGCCGCGUGAGUGAAGAAGUUUUUCGGAUCGUAAAGCUCCGUUGUAAGUCAAGAACGGGUGUGAGAGUGGCAAGUUCACACUGUGACGGUAGCUUACCAGAAAGAGACGGCUAACUACGUG